GACGAACGCUGGCGGCGUGCUUAACACAUGCAAGUCGAACGGAAAGGCCCUGCUUUUGUGGGGUGCUCGGGUGGCGAACGGGUGAGUAACACGUGAGUAACCUGCCCUUGACUUUGGGAUAACUUCAGGAAACGGGGGCUAAUACCGGAUAGGAGCUCCUGCUGCGUGGUGGGGGUUGGAAAGUUUCGGCGGUUGGGGAUGGACGCGCGGAUUAUCGGCUUGUUGGUGGGGUAGUGGCUUACCAAGUAUUUGACGGGUAGCCGGCCUGAGAGGGUGACCGGCCACAUUGGGACUGAGAGACGGACCAGAGUCCUACGGUGGGCAGCAGUGGGGAAUAUUGCACAAUGGGCGGGAGCCUGAUGCAGCAGCGCCGCGUGCGGGAUGACGUCCUUCGGGUUGUAAACCGCUUUCGCCUGUGACGAAGCGUGAGUGACGGUAAUGGGUAAAGAAGCACCGGCUAACUACGUG
rnacentral:rRNA from 1 species